rnacentral:snRNA from 1 species
CAGGAAGGUGUUGCGCCGA